AUGUUUGGAGUAUUGUGAUCAGUUUUCAAAGUCAAAAUCAAAGUCCUAUUCUUUGAUAAUAAUAAAUUUAUUAUCAAAGUAUGUAUACGGGUUCCGGCCUGAAACAUCCACCGAUCUUUUCCACGGAUGCUGCCUGAGCUGCUGAAUUCCUCCAGCGUGUUAUGCUGUCUGGCCUGCUGAGCUCCUUCAGCAUUUGGCAUGACUUUGUAAAUAAAAAACCACAAGCAAUAUCAGUGACAAAAAGUACAACGAUCCCCAUUGUCUUUGCUGCUGAUCACGCCUAAACAUGGAAGGACUUAAACUCCACUGGUCUGGCAACAGAAACGAUCACUGCCACAGUUCAACACGGCAGAGCUACACAGCAAUUUGAUAAAGUCAACAAUCCACGCACAGGACAGGUCUCAGAAAAACCUCCGUCCGAAGACAAAGCAGACAGGCAAUAAAACGAGAAAAUAUCGACUUUGGAGCGAACUAUCCCCUUACUAGAGAAAACGGAAUUUAAAAACUUAGAUCGACAGUUGACCAUCACUGCCAAGCCAGGAUCUUUAAACCCUUUGAGAGAGUUUAGCUGCA